rnacentral:misc_RNA from 1 species
UCCUGGUUAACCCAGGCAGUCUCAUUAGAGUUCCCACCUAAAUGUUGGCAACUAAUGAUAAGGGUUGCGCUCGUUGCGGGACUUAACCCAACACCUCACGGCACGAGCUGACGACAGCCAUGCAGCACCUGUGCAGAUGUCCCGAAGGACCUCUCUAUUUCUAGAGCAUUCAUCUGCAUGUCAAACCUGGGUAAGGUUCUUCGCGUUGCAUCGAAUUAAACCACAUGCUCCACUGCUUGUGCGGGUCCCCGUCAAUUCCUUUGAGUUUUAGCCUUGCGGCCGUAGUCCCCAGGCGGCGGACUUAGUGCGUUAGCUGCGGCGCCGAGGGGGUCGAUACCCCCGACACCUAGUCCGCAUCGUUUACGGCGUGGACUAC